AGAAGUGAGGGUGAUCUAGCUGGGACAUCUGUCACCCCACUGAUCAGCAGGGUUGAUUUGGCUGUUCUGACUGACUAGGCUGCUGUCCCCUUCCUCCCUAACUGCUCCAUGUGCAUCUCUCCUGAAGAUGCGCUCUUGGUCAAAGAGGAUGACCUUCCCCUAAGAGGAGGACAGGUCUUCAAUCACAGGUAUAUGAGUACGUGUACUCCCCUGCUGGAACCUCCAAAUAAGGUCUCAAAAUCAGUGUCUCUUUCAGAUGCUUAGAAAAAAGAAAAAAAAAUCCAUUUCCUCAGUAUGG
rnacentral:snRNA from 1 species